rnacentral:rRNA from 1 species
GAUGAACGCUGGCGGCGUGCUUAACACAUGCAAGUCGAACGAAGCACCUUAUUCUGAUUUCUUCGGAAUGAAAAAUUUGGUGACUGAGUGGCGGACGGGUGAGUAACGCGUGGGUAACCUGCCUCAUACAGGGGGAUAACAGUUAGAAAUGACUGCUAAUACCGCAUAAGACCACAGCACCGCAUGGUGCAGGGGCAAAAACUCCGGUGGUAUGAGAUGGACCCGCGUCUGAUUAGGUAGUUGGUGGGGUAACGGCCUACCAAGCCGACGAUCAGUAGCCGACCUGAGAGGGUGACCGGCCACAUUGGGACUGAGACACGGCCCAAACUCCUACGGGAGGCAGCAGUGGGGAAUAUUGCACAAUGGGGGAAACCCUGAUGCAGCGACGCCGCGUGAGCGAUGAAGUAUUUCGGUAUGUAAAGCUCUAUCAGCAGGGAAGAAAAUGACGGU